UCUCCUCCAUUGGCAUAGCUGCUGCUUAUUAUAGUGAAGAUAGCCUGGGUUGGAAACUUUUUUAUCUUGUUGGCUGUCUCUUUGUAGCUGUACAAAACCUGGAGGAGUGGGAAGAAGCUAUAUUUGAGAAAGAUGCAGGAAAGGUUUACUUAAAGUCAUUCAGCCUUUACAAAAAGCUUCUGACCUUUUCAAGAGCUGGCC